rnacentral:rRNA from 1 species
GACGAACGCUGGCGGCGCGCUUAACACAUGCAAGUCGAACGGCAGCGCGGGGGCAACCCUGGCGGCGAGUGGCGAACGGGUGAGUAAUGUAUCGGAACGUAUCCUGUAAUGGGGGAUAACCAGUCGAAAGAUUGGGUAAUACCGCAUACGCACGAGAGUGGAAAGUAGGGGAUCGCAAGACCUUACGUUAUAGGAGCGGCCGAUAUCUGAUUAGCUAGUUGGUGGGGUAAAGGCCUACCAAGGCGACGAUCAGUAGCUGGUCUGAGAGGACGACCAGCCACACUGGGACUGAGACACGGCCCAGACUCCUACGGGAGGCAGCAGUUGGGAAUCUUAGGCAAUGGACGAAAGUCUGACCUAGCGACGCCGCGUGAGGGAAGAAGGCCUUCGGGUUGUAAACCUCUGUCAUGGGGAAGAAGUAAGUGACGGUACCCCAAGAGGAAGCCCUGCUAACUACGUG